AGAGGGUGGCGCGUCCACUCGGCCUGGACGAGGGAGGCAAACCGCUCCCCUUCAACCCUCAGCUCGCCCUGCGCUCGCGACGGCGGCGUUGGCGGACGGAUACGCGGCGGCGCCUGUGUCUGGCAGAGCCGGUGUGAGAAGAAGAGAGAAUCCUUCCCCGCCGCCGGGAUAAUCAAGAGUUUUGGCCGGACCUUUGAGUACACAUCGGGAUAGUGAGAAGCCCGGCGAAAAGCACAGACUAUGGCGCUGAAACGGAUUAAUAAGACUGGCCUCACAGAUCUGCCUGAUUCUGCUUCCUGAGUGCUAGCAUUAAAGGAACUUAGUGAUUUGGCCCGUGACCCUCCAGCACAAUGUUCUGCAGGUCCAGUUGGAGAUGACAUGUUUCAUUGGCAAGCCACAAUUAUGGGACCUAAUGACAGCCCAUAUCAAGGUGGUGUAUUCUUUUUGACAAUUCAUUUUCCUACAGACUACCCCUUCAAACCACCUAAGGUUGCAUUUACAACAAGAAUUUAUCAUCCAAAUAUUAACAGUAAUGGCAGCAUUUGUCUUGAUAUUCUAAGAUCACAGUGGUCUCCUGCUUUAACUAUUUCUAAAGUUCUUUUAUCCAUUUGUUCACUGCUAUGUGAUCCAAACCCAGAUGACCCCCUAGUGCCAGAGAUUGCACGGAUCUAUAAAACAGACAGAGACAAGUACAACAGAAUAUCUCGGGAAUGGACUCAGAAGUAUGCCAUGUGAUGCUACCUUAAAGUCAGA
rnacentral:lncRNA from 1 species